GACGAACGCUGGCGGCGUGCUUAACACAUGCAAGUCGAACGAAGAGCGACGGAAGCUUGCUUCUAUCAAUCUUAGUGGCGAACGGGUGAGUAACGCGUAAUCAACCUGCCCUUCAGAGGGGGACAACAGUUGGAAACGACUGCUAAUACCGCAUACGAUCUAACCUCGGCAUCGAGGAUAGAUGAAAGGUGGCCUCUACAUGUAAGCUAUCACUGAAGGAGGGGAUUGCGUCUGAUUAGCUAGGUGGAGGGGUAACGGCCCACCAAGGCGAUGAUCAGUAGCCGGUCUGAGAGGAUGAACGGCCACAUUGGGACUGAGACACGGCCCAGACUCCUACGGGAGGCAGCAGUGGGGAAUCUUCCGCAAUGGACGAAAGUCUGACGGAGCAACGCCGCGUGAGUGAUGACGGCCUUCGGGUUGUAAAGCUCUGUUAAUCGGGACGAAAGGCCUUCUUGCGAAUAGUGAGAAGGAUUGACGGUACCGGAAGAGAAAGCCACGGCUAACUACGUG
rnacentral:rRNA from 1 species